rnacentral:tRNA from 1 species
UUUAGUUUAUAAAGAAUGUGUAACUUGUAAUUACAAGGAUAUGUUAGU